GACGGACCGUACGAACGUUAUUCGGAAUUACUGGGCUUAAAGGGUGCGUAGGCGGCUCAGCAAGUUGAAUGUGAAAGCCCUCGGCUUAACCGAGGAAUUGCAUCCAAAACUACUGGGCUUGAGUGAGGCAGAGGUGAGCGGAACUCACGGUGGAGCGGUGAAAUGCGUUGAUAUCGUGAGGAACACCGGUGGCGAAAGCGGCUCACUGGGUCUUUGCUGACGCUGAGGCACGAAAGCUAGGGUAGCGAACGGG
rnacentral:rRNA from 1 species